rnacentral:rRNA from 1 species
CGAGGGGCAGCGGGGAGUGAGGCUUGCCUUACUCUGCCGGCGACCGGCGCACGGGUGAGUAACACGUAUGCAACCUACCCUUUACAGCGGGAUAACCGGAAGAAAUUUCGCCUAAUACCGCAUAUACUCCUUGGGAGGCAUCUUCCGAGGGGGAAAGAAUUUCGGUGAAGGAUGGGCAUGCGUCGCAUUAGUUAGUUGGCGGUGUAACGGACCACCAAGACGACGAUGCGUAGGGGUUCUGAGAGGAAGGUCCCCCACACUGGUACUGAGACACGGACCAGACUCCUACGGGAGGCAGCAGUGAGGAAUAUUGGUCAAUGGCCGAGAGGCUGAACCAGCCAAGUCGCGUGAGGGAAGAAUGUCCUAUGGAUUGUAAACCUCUUUUGUCAGGGAGCAAAGUCACCCACGUGUGGGUGUUGGAGAGUACCUGAAGAAAAAGCAUCGGCUAACUCCGUGCCAGCAGCCGCGGUAAUACGGAGGAUGCGAGCGUUAUCCGGAUUUAUUGGGUUUAAAGGGUGCGUAGGCGGGUUAUCAAGUCAGCGGUAAAAUCGUGGAGCUCAACUCCAUCCAGCCGUUGAAACUGAUGAUCUUGAGUGGGCGAGAAGUAUGCGGAAUGCGUGGUGUAGCGGUGAAAUGCAUAGAUAUCACGCAGAACUCCGAUUGCGAAGGCAGCAUACGGGCGCCCAACUGACGCUGAAGCACGAAAGCGUGGGUAUCGAACAGGAUUAGAUACCCUGGUAGUCCACGCAGUAAACGAUGAAUACUAAUUGUGUGCUCCGAAUGAGGAGUGCGUGAUACAGCGAAAGCGUUAAGUAUUCCACCUGGGGAGUACGCCGGCAACGGUGAAACUCAAAGGAAUUGACGGGGGCCCGCACAAGCGGAGGAACAUGUGGUUUAAUUCGAUGAUACGCGAGGAACCUUACCCGGGCUCAAACGCAGGAGGGAUGUUUUUGAAAGGAGGCAGCUCUACGGAGUCUCCUGCGAGGUGCUGCAUGGUUGUCGUCAGCUCGUGCCGUGAGGUGUCGGCUUAAGUGCCAUAACGAGCGCAACCCCUACCGCCAGUUGCCAACGGGUAAAGCCGGGAACUCUGGCGGGACUGCCGGCGCAAGCUGUGAGGAAGGCGGGGAUGACGUCAAAUCAGCACGGCCCUUACGUCCGGGGCGACACACGUGUUACAAUGGCAGGUACAGCGGGAAGCCACUUGGCGACAAGGCGCGGAACCCGAAAACCUGUCUCAGUUCGGAUUGGAGUCUGCAACCCGACUCCAUAAAGCUGGAUUCGCUAGUAAUCGCGCAUCAGCC